AGUGAACGCUGGCGGUAGGCCUAACACAUGCAAGUCGAACGGCAGCACAGUAAGAGCUUGCUCUUACGGGUGGCGAGUGGCGGACGGGUGAGGAAUACAUCGGAAUCUACUUUUUCGUGGGGGAUAACGUAGGGAAACUUACGCUAAUACCGCAUACGACCUACGGGUGGAAGCAGGGGAUCUUCAGACCUUGCGCGAUUGAAUGAGCCGAUGUCGGAUUAGCUAGUUGGCGGGGUAAAGGCCCACCAAGGCGACGAUCCGUAGCUGGUCUGAGAGGAUGAUCAGCCACACUGGAACUGAGACACGGUCCAGACUCCUACGGGAGGCAGCAGUGGGGAAUAUUGGACAAUGGGCGCAAGCCUGAUCCAGCCAUACCGCGUGGGUGAAGAAGGCCUUCGGGCUGUAAAGCCCUUUUGUUGGGAAAGAAAAGCAGCAGGUUAAUACCCCGCUGUUCUGACGGUACCCAAAGGAUAAGCACCGGCUAACUUCGUG
rnacentral:rRNA from 1 species